AUUGAACGCUGGCGGCAGGCCUAACACAUGCAAGUCGAACGAGUGGCGGACGGGUGAGUAAUGUCUGGGAAACUGCCUGAUGGAGGGGGAUCACUACUGGAAACGGUAGCUAAUACCGCAUACAAGCAGAUGUGCCCGGAUGGGAUUAGCUAGUUGGUGGGGUAACGGCUCACCAAGGCCAGGAUCCCUACCUGGUCGGAGAGUAUGACCAGCCACACUGGAACUGAGACACGGUCCAGACUCCUACGUGAGGCAGCAGUGGGGAAUAUUGCACAAUGGGCGCAAGCCUGAUGUAGCCAUGCCGCGUGUAUGAAGAAGGCCUUCGGGUUGUAAAGUACUUUCAGCGGGGAGGCGUUACCCGCAGAAGAAGCACCGGCUAACUCCGUGCCAGCAGCCGCGGUAAUAC
rnacentral:rRNA from 1 species